rnacentral:rRNA from 1 species
CGGACGGGUGAGUAACACGUGGGUAACCUGCCCCAUAAACCGGGACAACAGUUGGAAACGACUGCUAAUACCGGAUACUCUCGCGAGGAGGCAUCUCUUUGCGAGGAAAGGUGGCCUCUGAAUAUGCUACCGAUAUGGGGUGGACCCGCGUCUGAUUAGCUAGUUGGUGGGGUAACGGCCUACCAAGGCGACGAUCAGUAGCCGGCCUGAGAGGGUGACCGGCCACAUUGGGACUGAGACACGGCCCAAACUCCUACGGAAGGCAGCAG